rnacentral:rRNA from 1 species
GAGUCUUGCACUCUGAGCUGGGUGUGGCCGCAGAGACCAGCGAGAAGCGACUGUUUACUAAAAACACAGGUCCGUGCGAAGCCGUAAGGCGAUGUAUACGGACUGACGCCUGCCCGGUGCUGGAACGUUAAGGGGACCGGUUAGUCACAUUUCGGUGUGGCGAAGCUGAGAACUUAAGCGCCAGUAAACGGCGGUGGUAACUAUAACCAUCCUAAGGUAGCGAAAUUCCUUGUCGGGUAAGUUCCGACCUGCACGAAUGGCGUAACGACUUCUCGACUGUCUCAACCAUAGGCCCGGUGAAAUUGCAUUACGAGUAAAGAUGCUCGUUUCGCGCAGCAGGACGGAAAGACCCCGGGACCUU